AGGAGGAGUCGCCAGCCAGCGACCUGGUUGAGCAGGAAGACCAGCUUGCCCCCAAGGUGGACGGGACGGACGAUGAAAGCUCAUGGAGCUUGGAGAGUGUGUGUGAGACCGACCUCGCUGAGAGCAACCUCGCCGAAAGUGAUAGAGACUCGGUGGCGGAGAGCACCGACUGCCGCCAGGAUGAGGAGGCUGCAGACUCCGCUGGGACACCUUGAAGCCUCAGCCUGGGACUGGAAGCGUCCAAACGUUUCCAUCUGAACCUGGAACAAGAUCGACCUCACUCUUCAUCUAUUACGAGCCAACUUUAGUAUAAGUUUGGUUCUUUAUUGUCUAGAUUUAGUAUUAAAUUCUCAUACAUGUUUACUCCUUGGUAUGCAAAAUUUGUGUAUUUAAUAAUCCUUAUCUAUCUAUUUGCUUUUAAACUAGUUUUCGGUAAAAUAAACACAUGUAUAGGAGAGCCCCUUAAGCAGAGGUAGAACUUAAUGCACUGGCGUCAGGCAGUCGCCCUGGUGUCCACCACCAGGAUCACCCCCUGUCCUGUCACCCGCAUCAGUCCUGGCUGAAGAAGGGGACUGUGGAUUUAGUCCUGACCAUCUGCCCUCAGGCCAGUUUCUUUCCAAGGAUUCUGUGGCCUCACGUCGGUUUGUACCUUUGACCAUGGGACCUCUGUCACGCUCCCUCUUUCAGGAUGACGUGGAUGGCCGGGCCUUGCAUGCCCAGACCCUGGCUGCUGGAACAUCCCUAACUCACCCUUUCUCUCCUCGUGUCUCUAACAUGUUUCUUUACAUCCUGUGCCUCGAGCCGGUAUUUUUAAGCCAUAGAGUGACACCGAAUGGGACACAGAUAAAACUGUAAAAGCAAUUUUAAUAAAGUACACUUUGAUUGCAAA